UCUAGGUCUGGGCCAUGUGCCUCUUCUUGGAACUGGGAAGCACGGUCAACCUCCAGUGAGUCAUGUUGACUAGAAAUGGUGGCAACACAACAUGGUUUCUUAGAGGAUAUCCUCAAGAUAUAUUCCUUUACCAUUGCUUAUUAGUCUUCUGGGAUCCCAGGAGCAAAGAAUGAAAUGCUUCCUGAACUUAGAUUCAGGUGGGAGAGAGGUCUGACCCAUCUUGUCAUUCACUCACUAAAUGACUGGGGGCUGGUCACUUUUCCUCGUGGGGGGUCUCAGAUUCCUUAUUGGUAUGGGGAGAAGUUUGAUCAGGUGAUUCUGAUGAUUCCAUCAAAUCAAAUUUCUUCAGUUUCCUCUUCCCUAGCUGGAAAGAUUAUUGGGAGUGUCUAGAGAGCUGAAGUACCGUGUUGUGCUACAUAGACGUCGACGGUGAUGGUUCCUUGCCCAAGAAAAGGAAACAGAAACCUGCUGAGAUAGCCAAGGGGGAAAGAGAAGAGAGAGUGACCUCUUUAGAAAGAGCUGCAGCCCUGGAAAUCUGACUAAUGGCUGGAGAGGCCAUUCCUGUUGGCACUGGGUGACCGCAGAGAUUGCCACAGUUGCUACGGAAUCAUAGCAUCCUGCAGUAAGAAAACAAGCCCCAUGGACUAUAGCCUGCCAAGCUCCUCUGUCCAUGGAUUUCCCAGGCAAGAAUACUGGAGCCAGAUGUUUUAUCCUGCUACGUUAAGUCAUCUUGACAUGCUGCCACGAAAUGGAAACAACUGCUAGUUUUAAUAUCGCUCCAUAUCUUUAUUACAAGUCGAAAGGCUUGGACUUCAUGGAUGAGGACUUGUGUUUUCAUUUGAAUGAGGAACCGACUGUCUGAGCCAGCAGCUGAAGAUUCCAAAGAAUCAUGGUGUCUCCUCUGACAAUGGGUCCUUAGAGAGCCCUCUUCUAUCCCAGCAGCAAAGGCCCCUCACUGUGAUCGUCCGGUGGUGCUGACUUGCCCAUGAAACCCUCGGUCCUACACCUUGGAGACUGCCUUCUGUCCAAAGUGUUUGAGACGGGGCCCUGGUUUUAUGAACUCAGUGCCUGUCUCUGAAAGACAGCAGAUGCAAUGAGGCCCCGGAUGGAAACAAUAAAUACCAUUCAGAUUUCCCGCACGGAGCUUCUUAUAGUGGCGCCUUUGUUGAGGGAAACAGGGAUUGAAAUGCCUUCCCCCACCCUUCCUUUUCCCUCCAGCCCCCUUUCACUGCUAGGAUCUCAACCACCUCUGGAAAGCAAAGGUUAAGUAUCUGAGGAGAAAUCAGUUGACAUACCAAAGAGACUCCAGCGAAUGUAUCACUCACUUGCCAGCAAUUCGGUGGGGCGGAGAGCUUCUGGGGAGGGGAAUGAAUUUUACUUGAAGCCAGAAGAAAAGCAGCCCUGGGAGGGGAGUACUUGCUAGAAAUAUCCUCCUCUGAGCUGGGAUGUUAACAGUGGCACCUUCUGACUUAAUGUGGCAUCUUUCUUCAUCGUUAUCAAUCUCAUGAGAGCUUUCCUGCCAUCUGUACCAUUUGUGCUUCAGGCUCCCAUAUGAAAGUCCAAUCUGGCAGCAUAAAUACUGGCUAAUGAAGAGUAGGUGUCUGACUGACUGGGAGAGAAGGGAUCCUGUCUCAAUGAUGGGGCAGGAUUCAUUCAUUUGAGGAAAAAACUGCAUUUCUAUAGCCAUUCAAGAAGAAAUCCUCUCUCCUUCUCUCUCUUUACCCCCCUUUCCUCCCCUCUCUGAUCCUCCUUUCUCAUUUUCUUCCUGUGUCAUCCUUUGUUAAUGGAGUUCAUGCAAAAGUCAGCACAAAAAUGGUCUUUGCCUAGAAUGUUAUACCUCAGAGAUUAAAAAUAGGAACGCGAUGUGGACUUGCCGACAUGUGGUGGGUUAUUUUUUAUUUUUUUUCCUCUUCAGUGGGAAAGCUAUAACUACAUAGAUUAGCAAAACUUGUGCAAGAAUGGAUGUAAAACAGAUUUAUCUCUGUGUCAGCUUUAUCUGAUCCAUUUGGUCUUGCAGAGUUUCGAUGGCCUCCUUUGUUACAAUAACCAGCUCUCAAACAUCUAUAUCCUUAGGGUAUUAAAUGUCAGCCUCCUGAUGUACCAGUCGAGGAGAGAGGGUUGACAGUCUGUGGGCUGGGGAAGUUCUCCUUGUGCGCAGGGCAGAGGGGCUGCUUGUGCGUCCAGGCUGGCUGCUGGGAUGACCUCCAGAAACUUCCACCACCUCCCCGUGUCACCGUGCAGGGGUGUUGAAGCUUACCACCGCCAUUAAUAUCCUUUUACACAGAAUUCAAAAAGAUUUCCUGUCACUGACAAGGACAGAUUUGUUAGAGGUCUCUCAAGGAAAUGGACAAUAACUAAUUAAUUGAGCUCUCCAGGACUUUCCGUGCUGUCGUUCCUCAUUUAUCUGUUCUCGUUUCUCACCACGCAGGUCCAGCUC
ensembl:lncRNA